rnacentral:rRNA from 1 species
CAGCCGCCGCGGUAAUACGUAGGGUGCGAGCGUUAAUCGGAAUUACUGGGCGUAAAGCGUGCGCAGGCGGUUAUGCAAGACAGAUGUGAAAUCCCCGGGCUUAACCUGGGAACUGCAUUUGUGACUGCAUGGCUAGAGUGCGGCAGAGGGGGAUGGAAUUCCGCGUGUAGCAGUGAAAUGCGUAGAUAUGCGGAGGAACACCGAUGGCGAAGGCAAUCCCCUGGGCCUGCACUGACGCUCAUGCACGAAAGCGUGGGGAGCAAACAGGAUUAGAUACCCGAGUAGUCCCUGUCUCUUAUAC